rnacentral:rRNA from 1 species
GACGAACGCUGGCGGCGUGCCUAACACAUGCAAGUCGAACGGAGUAUUUAGCAAUAGAUACUUAGUGGCGAACGGGUGAGUAACGCGUAGACAACCGACCUCUAAACUGGGGACAACACCGCGAAAGUGGUGCUAAUACCGAAUGUGGUAACUUGGCUGCAUGGCUAAGUUAAGAAAGAUGGCCUCUACAUGUAAGCUAUCGUUUAGAGAUGGGUCUGCGUCUGAUUAGCUAGUUGGUGAGGUAAUGGCUCACCAAGGCGACGAUCAGUAGCCGGUCUGAGAGGAUGAACGGCCACACUGGGACUGAGACACGGCCCAGACUCCUACGGGAGGCAGCAGUGGGGAAUCUUCCGCAAUGGACGAAAGUCUGACGGAGCAACGCCGCGUGAGUGAAGAAGGUCUUCGGAUUGUAAAGCUCUGUCGUUUGGGACGAACGUGGAUUGUGUGAAUAAUGCAGUCUAAUGACGGUACCAAAGGAGGAAGCCACGGCUAACUACGUGCCAGCCGCCGCCGUAA